ensembl:snRNA U1 U1 spliceosomal RNA
AUACUUACCUGGCAGGGGAGAUACCAUGAUCACAAAGGGGCUUUUCCCAGGGUGAGGCUUGCCCACUGCAUUUUGGAUGUGCCUACGCCUGAGAUUUUCUCAAAUGUGGGAAACUCAAGUGCAUAAUUUGUGGUAGUGAGGGACUGCGUUCAUGCGCUCGUUUA